rnacentral:rRNA from 1 species
AGCAGCCGCGGUAAUUCCAGCUCCAAUAGCGUAUAUUAAAGUUGUUGCAGUUAAAAAGCUCGUAGUUGAAUUUCGGGAUUGGCGCAUCGGUCGUGCCUCACGGGGUAUGAACUGGUGCAGUCAAUUUCUCACCUUCUGGAGAACCGCGAUGUCCUUAAUUGGAUGCCGCGGGGAACCAGGACCUUUACUUUGAAAAAAAUUAGAGUGUUUAAAGCAGGCAUUUUUGCUUGAAUACAUUAGCAUGGAAUAAUGAAAUAGGACGGCAUGGUUCUAUUUUGUUGGUUUCUAGGACCACCGUAAUGAUUAAUAGGGAUAGUUGGGGGCAUUAGUAUUCAAUUGUCAGAGGCGAAAUUCUUGGAUUUAUUGAAGACUAACUACUGCGAAAGCAUUUGCCAAGGAUGUUCUCAUUAAUCAAGAACGAAAGUUAGGGGAUCGAAGACGAUCAGGUACCGUCGUAGUCUUAACCAUAAACUAUGCCGACUAGGAAUCAGAC